CAGUCGCCGCGGUAAUACGUAGGGUGCGAGCGUUAAUCGGAAUUACUGGGCGUAAAGCGUGCGCAGGCGGUUCGUUAAGACAGAUGUGAGAUCCCCGGGCUUAACCUGGGAACUGCAUUUGUGACUGGCGAGCUAGAGUAUGGCAGAGGGGGGUAGAAUUCCACGUGUAGCAGUGAAAUGCGUAGAGAUGUGGAGGAAUACCGAUGGCGAAGGCAGCCCCCUGGGCCAAUACUGACGCUCAUGCACGAAAGCGUGGGGAGCAAACAGGAUUAGAUACCCCCGUAGUCCCUGUCUCUUAUAC
rnacentral:rRNA from 1 species